UUGGCUCAGGACGAACGCUGGCGGCGUGCCUAAUACAUGCAAGUCGAGCGGACAGAUGGGAGCUUGCUCCCUGAUGUUAGCGGCGGACGGGUGAGUAACACGUGGGUAACCUGCCUGUAAGACUGGGAUAACUCCGGGAAACCGGGGCUAAUACCGGAUGCUUGUUUGAACCGCAUGGUUCAAACAUAAAAGGUGGCUUCGGCUACCACUUACAGAUGGACCCGCGGCGCAUUAGCUAGUUGGUGAGGUAAUGGCUCACCAAGGCAACGAUGCGUAGCCGACCUGAGAGGGUGAUCGGCCACACUGGGACUGAGACACGGCCCAGACUCCUACGGGAGGCAGCAGUAGGA
rnacentral:rRNA from 1 species